UACGUAGGGUCCAAGCGUUAUCCGGAAUCACUGGGCGUAAAGCGUGCGUAGGUGGAUGUUUAAGUGUAUUGCGAAAUCUUGUGGCUCAACCAUAUAGACUGUAAUACAUACUGGAUAUCUAGAGGACGGCAGAGGCAAGUGGAAUUUGUAGUGUAGCAGUGAAAUGCGUAGAUAUUACAAGGAACACCAAUGGCGAAGGCAGCUUGCUGGGCCGACCCUGACACUGAGGUACGAAAGCGUGGGGGAGCGAACAGG
rnacentral:rRNA from 1 species